GAGACUUCAGUGAUCGAUGCAAUGGGAGCUUUGCUACCAUCACCUUUUUUGGGUUAUUCAAAGCUUCGGUUGAUCUGGUUGACGUCAGCAAAUCAGAUGUUUAUAAUGAAAAGCUAGAAAGGGUUCACAAGCUGCUGCUGCUGCAAGUGAAAUGAAGCUGUGAUCUGGUUCUUGUUUGCAAAUCAGAUGAUUUGUACCAUCAUUGGAGCGUGGGUUCAAAGCUGCUGGAAGUGUGGAACGGGUGGAAUGAAGAGAUGCUGUGGGGGGCUUUAAGAGAUUCAAC
rnacentral:misc_RNA from 1 species